CUACGGGUCGCAGCAGUGGGGAAUAUUGCACAAUGGGGGAAACCCUGAUGCAGCAACGCCGCGUGGAGGAUGACGCAUUUCGGUGUGUAAACUCCUUUUAUAUAGGAAGAUAAUGACGGUACUCUAUGAAUAAGCACCGGCUAACUCCGUGCCAGCAGCCGCGGUAAUACGGAGGGUGCAAGCGUUACUCGGAAUCACUGGGCGUAAAGCGCGCGCAGACGGCCGUUUAAGUUGGAUGUGAAAGCCUAGGGCUUAACCAUAGAACUGCAUCCAAAACUAUCAGGCUAGAGUCUGGGAGGGGAAGAUGGAAUUAGUGGUGUAGAGGUAAAAUCCGUAGAUAUCACUAGGAAUACCUAAAGCGAAGGCGAUCUCCUGGAACAUUACUGACGCUAAGGCGUGAAAGCGUGGGGAGCAAACAGGAUUAGAUACCCCCGUAGUC
rnacentral:rRNA from 1 species